GACUCUCUUAACACUAUAAAUAUAGUACUCGAUUGUGUUAUUCUCAUAUCAUUUAUCUACUAGCUAUAAUCCAUUUUAGUUUCAUUGAUUUAGUUUUGUUUAUGGUUUUCGUUUAGUUUCAUUGAUUCUUAAACACUAACUUAUGAGUUUUGUGUUUUUAUUUGUGUACAGAGAAACAUGUGAGCAUGAAAGAGAGACUUCAAAAAGUAAAGAUAAAGAAAGAGAGAAUGGCCCUGAUAAAGACAUAAAAGAAUUAAGUUUUAUGUUCUAAGAAGCGAUAUAGAUGUAGAGAUCAAAGUACGGAGUGUAGUGAAAAAAGGAAACGGUGUAGUAGAGAUGAUGAUGACUAUGGUCGAAGCCGCGAUCGUGACCAUGAUAGGUGAAGAGAUGAUCGAGGAGAUAGACGCAGUCAUCGAUUUGCUCCGAUUAUAUAAUGGACCAAUUAGAGAUUUAGAGUGCCGGAUUGAAGUUAGUGUUUCAAUUUUUAGUUUUUUCUUUAAAUUUGAUUUUAAAUUUUAGCAAUAUAUUGAAGAUUUAAAUAUACUACGGAAAAAUAGCA